rnacentral:rRNA from 1 species
GAUGAACGCUGGCGGCGUGCCUAAUACAUGCAAGUCGAGCGAACGGACGAGAAGUUUGCUUCUCUGAUGUUAGCGGCGGACGGGUGAGUAACACGUGGAUAACCUACCUAUAAGACUGGGAUAACUUCGGGAAACCGGAGCUAAUACCGGAUAAUAUUUUGAACCGCAUGGUUCAAAAGUUAAAGACGGUCUUGCUGUCACUUAUAGAUGGAUCCGCGCUGCAUUAUCUAGUUGGUAAGGUAACGGCUUACCAAGGCAACGAUGCAUAGCCGACCUGUGAGGGUGAUCGGCCACGCUGGAACUGAGACACGGUCCAGACUCCUACGGGAGGCAGCAGUAGGGAAUCUUACGCAAUGGACGAAAGCCUGACGGAGCAACGCCGCAUGAGUGAUGAAGGUCUUCGGAUCGUAAAACUCUGUUAUUAGGGAAGAACAUAUGUGUAAGUAACUGUGCACAACUUGACGGUACCUAAUCAGAAAGCCGCGGCUAGCUACAUG